UCCCCGGUGGGCUAGUGGCUCGCAUGCGGUGCUCUCACCGCCGCGGCCCGGGUUUGAUUCCCGGCCAGGGAA